GCUUGGUAUAAGUGGUGGUAUCGUUGUAUGCCCGUGUUUUCAAUGCCCCUGAAGUCCCUAGCUGUUAGCCCAGGUGGAAAUGCGUUAUUGCAAAGGUAUGGUGUGAGUGGUGAUAUUGGAUGGGUAAGUGCAUAUUUGUGGGCUGUAGAAUCCCAUAUCCUGAUCGAGUUCAAGAUUGUUGGGCAGGUUGUGCGGAGCAUUGGUCUAUCAGUUUUGGGGACCCAUAUCCAAAAUUGUGGGAGAUCUGUGCACGUAAAUAGUGUUUCUAGGUCAAGCCACCUGUGGGUAUCCGGCGGUGAGUGCCAC